rnacentral:snRNA from 1 species
GAAUUGGCUGCAACAUCUGUCACUCCAUUGAUCUCCAGGGUUGAUUCAGCUGAUCUGGUUGCUUGUAAGCCUUCUU